AGGUUUGCCUUAGUAACGGCGAGUGAAGCGGCAACAGCUCAAAUUUGAAAUCUGGCCUAUGGUCCGAGUUGUAAUUUGCAGGAGGAUGCUUCGGGCGACGGUGCCUUCCAAGUCCCCUGGAACGGGGGCGCCGGAGAGGGUGAGAGCCCCGUACGGUUGGCGGGCCAAGCCUGUGUGAAGCUCCUUCGACGAGUCGAGUAGUUUGGGAAUGCUGCUCUAAGCGGGAGGUAGACCCCUUCUAAAGCUAAAUACCGGCCAGAGACCGAUAGCGCACAAGUAGAGUGAUCGAAAGAUGAAAAGCACUUUGAAAAGAGGGUUAAACAGCACGUGAAAUUGUUGAAAGGGAAGCGCUUGUGACCAGACGUGCGCCGGGGUGUUCAGCGGGCGUUCUCGCCCGUGCACUCGCCUCGGUGCAGGCCAGCGUCGGUUUGGGUGGGGGGAUAAAGGCGUCUGGAAUGUGGCUCCUCCGGGAGUGUUAUAGCCAGACGUGCCAUGCCUCCGCCUGGACCGAGGUACGCGUUCUGCAAGGACGCUGGCGUAAUGGUCUCCAGCGACCCGUCUUGAAACACGGACCAAGGAGUCGAGGUUUUGCGCGAGUGUUUGGGUGAAAAACCCGCACGCGUAAUGAAAGUGAACGUAGGUGAGAGCUUCGGCGCAUCACCGACCGAUCCUGAUGUUUUCGGAUGGAUUUGAGUAAGAGCGUAGGGCCUCGGACCCGAAAGAUGGUGAACUAUGCUUGGAUAGGGGUGAAGCCAGAGGAAACUCUGGUGGAGGCUCGCAGCGGUUCUGACGUGCAAAUCGAUCGUCAAAUCUGAGCAUGGGGGCGAAAGACUAAUCGAACCCAUCUAGUAAGCUGGGUU
rnacentral:rRNA from 1 species